UAAAUAGCCAGGCUGGCUUUGGCUAGUCGUAGGCUUCUUAGAGGGACUGUUGGCGUCUAGUCAGCGGAAGUUUGAGGCAAUAACAGGUCUGUGAUGCCCUUAGAUGUUCUGGGCCGCACGCGCGCUACACUGACCAAGCCAGCGAGUUUAUUUUCCUUGGCCGAGAGGUCUG
rnacentral:rRNA from 1 species